rnacentral:rRNA from 1 species
ACGAGCGCUGGCGGCGUGCCUAAUACAUGCAAGUUGAGCGCUGAAGGUUGGUACUUGUACCAACUGGAUGAGCAGCGAACGGGUGAGUAACGCGUGGGGAAUCUGCCUUUGAGCGGGGGACAACAUUUGGAAACGAAUGCUAAUACCGCAUAAAAACUUUAAACACAAGUUUUAAGUUUGAAAGAUGCAAUUGCAUCACUCAAAGAUGAUCCCGCGUUGUAUUAGCUAGUUGGUGAGGUAAAGGCUCACCAAGGCGAUGAUACAUAGCCGACCUGAGAGGGUGAUCGGCCACAUUGGGACUGAGACACGGCCCAAACUCCUACGGGAGGCAGCAGUAGGGAAUCUUCGGCAAUGGACGAAAGUCUGACCGAGCAACGCCGCGUGAGUGAAGAAGGUUUUCGGAUCGUAAAACUCUGUUGGUAGAGAAGAACGUUGGUGAGAGUGGAAAGCUCAUCAAGUGACGGUAACUACCCAGAAAGGGACGGCUAACUACGUG